GGAAAAUAAGUAUGAUUUAUUAAUGGGCUUGCUGAAAGGCAGCUGGAAAUACAUGCCUGACUGCCACCCUGCUGAGAUACUGGAAAGGCUGUGUUUAAUUUAAGGCUCUUGUGCUAUCUUUUAUUGUACUGCAUUGUUAUUAGCACUGUGUGAGCACACAAAUGAAUAAAAGGAAUAUAAUGAGUGUUGAACCACACUUAUUCCCUGUUCUACAUGAGGAGUCUAUAGUACUAUAAUGGAGGCAUGCAGAGAAUAGGGAGUCAGCAACCACAUGCUUUGCAUUUAUGCUGCAGCUUCCCAGUUAACAUAAACUACUGCAAGACUCUGAAAGAGCAAGACCCCUUAUUUUGACACUGGGGUUCAAGAUAAGCCAUUUCUUACCACAUAAGUCACUGACACACUUUGAGAGAUCCUCUCUGAGGACAGGGAAAGCACUGAAUCUACACUUCCUGAGAGGGAAGUAUCUGACAGCAGUCCUUGGUUAUUCUACUUGAGAGACACCUCCAGCCUCUAUCUAGGUGAGAAAGCUGCUGACACUCCAGCACUAGGGGCCAAAGGCUAAAGCCUGACCCCACCAGACCUGGGGGAGGAUCUCUCAAGUUUGUACAUUAUCAGCUUUUCACUGAGAUUACACUGUGUGCUGUAUGUAUUACACGGUUAAUCAUUUAAAUGGAUAUAGACUUCCUCAAUCUGCAGAAGGUUUUCAAAAAUGUGAGGGAUUAAUAAACAGCAUGCAAAGGGCAAGUUACGCUGCUCAAAACUCAAGUGCUCACAGUGCAGAAACUAUGCCUUGAAUCCUAAGUAGUUCAUGCUAGAUCUUUAUCACCUCUAACUGCUUGCUGUUCAGUCCAGCAUACUCAACAAGAUUUCUUAAGGAUUUUCAACCCAGGCAGUCUCCUACUCUGACAUCAUGUUUUGUGACUAUUCACUGACCUUUAAAUUGGCAGGUAAUUGCAUGUUCACUGAGCCAAAAGCCUGAAAUUCAUUCUCUCUGACAUGAUACCUCAGUCCACCCUUCCUUCUCUCCCUUCCCCUUCUUAUUUUUGUAAUUAAACAUCUGAAAAUACUGCUUGUUGGGUGGUAUUUCCAGCUUCAGUCAUUGCUGGCUCCAGCAUAGGAAAACUCCUCCUCUUGAACGCACAUCAUCUGGGCUCUUCUGUUGUGAACUAUUUUCUGUACUGCUUGGAUAUUUCAAUGAUAUUUUUAUUUGUAUUGUGAAUGGCUGUGCAAAAACUCAAUUGAUACAGCCUGUGUGAAUAUGUUUUGCUACAUAAACACAAUUAUUUUUGUUAUAUACACACACCCUCUGUAAGAAAUGACAUUGUAGGCUCACAAAACUGUAAUGCUUCCCAUAUGCUGAACUAGCUAGCUGUCUCAAUGGAUCAAAUAUAAAUAUUGAUGCAACAUGUGCCAUUUUACAAAUUAAUCAUGUACAGAGCAUGGUGGUUAUGACAGAUUCAUCUGCACUGCCAACUUUUUGUCCAGAGUAUCCAGUGUCCAUUGAUACCUCAAGGGAUGGACUACAUGAAACAGGAAUGUACAUAUCUGAGCAACUGAUAUUCAGAUUUCACAGUUCAUCUGAAUGGACGCCUCAAACCUGAAUCUACCUCCCCUCUGCCCUGGUUUGUACAAAUAUCAACAGGCUGCAAAUACCAGAGGAUUUUACAUCAACUACUCGCUCUUUAAAAGCGGCAUCUAUCACGUCAGUUCUGAAUGAGAAAAUAAUAUGUAUUUAGCAGUGUAUGAUAUAUACAGUCUCCUUUCUGUUCAAUUCUUGACUGCAAAAGCUACAAGAACAAAGUCAAGUCUCCAAGGUACUUAACAAUUAAUUGGCUAUUAUAUGGCUGCAUGAGAUAACAUAGAAGAAAAAGAGUGGGAAAGCAGCAUGGUUUUUCAUAUUCCACUGUAAAGAACAUGAAAAACUAGCAAAAUAGAAGAUAGCAUUUUGUUGCUGUCACCUACUCACUAAACUCUCAGCAGUCUUUCUACGAUUACACUGGUAUAGAUAUAGGAACUGAGAAAAAAGCAAUUAUACAGUAGGUAUCUGUAGCUCAAAUAAUCCCUUCCUAGACUUUGUGAGCAAUACCAAACGAUUUAUCGAAGUACAGCACAGAGCCAAGCUGUAUGAAGACAAGCUACUCAGUCUGGAACAUCUUGUACCACAGUUUAUAAUGCAGGAAUAUGAAUAAUACAUGGAAAAUCAUCAGAUGAGGAGGCAAAGCCAGAACUGCAUGCAUCAAUCAAAU